rnacentral:rRNA from 1 species
GAUGAACGCUGGCGGCAUGCCUAAUACAUGCAAGUCGAGCGAGGCUUCUUCGGAAGCCUAGCGGCGAACGGGUGAGUAACACGUGGGCAACCUGCCCUCAAGCCUGGGAUAACUCCGGGAAACCGGAGCUAAUACCAGAUAAUCCUUUUUCUCGCAUGAGAGAAAGGUAAAAGAAUUUCGCUUGGGGAUGGGCCCGCGGUGCAUUAGCUAGUUGGUAGAGUAAAAGCCUACCAAGGCGACGAUGCAUAGCCGACCUGAGAGGGUGACCGGCCACACUGGGACUGAGACACGGCCCAGACUCCUACGGGAGGCAGCAGUAGGGAAUUUUCCGCAAUGGGCGAAAGCCUGACGGAGCAAUGCCGCGUGAGUGAAGACGGCCUUCGGGUUGUAAAGCUCUGUUCUUAGGGAAGAAAAAAAUGACGGUACCUAAGGAGAAAGCCCCGGCUAACUACGUGCCAGCAGCCGCCGUAAUAC